rnacentral:rRNA from 1 species
CCUACGGGUGGCAGCAGUGGGGAAUAUUGCACAAUGGGGGAAACCCUGAUGCAGCAACGCCGCGUGAGUGAUGACGGCCUUCGGGUUGUAAAGCUCUGUCUGCAGGGACGAGAAUGACGGUACCUGAGGAGGAAGCCACGGCUACCGACGUGCCAGCAGCCGCGGCAAUACGGAGGUGGCGAGCGUUGUCCGGAUUUCCUGGGCGUAAAGGGAGCGUAGGCGGUCUUUUAAGUGAGAUGUGAAAUCCUCGGGCUCAACUUGAGUGCUGCAUUUCAAACUGGCAGGCUAGAGUGCAGGAGAGGGGAGUGGAAUUCCUAGUGUAGCUGUGAAAUGCGUAGAGAUUAGGCAGAACACCAGUGGCGAAGGCGCUUCUCUGGACUGUACCUGACGCUGAGGCUCGAAAGCGUGGGGAGCAAACAGGAUUAGAUACCCUUGUAGUC